rnacentral:rRNA from 1 species
AGAGAGAGACAUGCGCGCAUAUCAAUAAGCGGAGGAAAAGAAACUAACUAGGAUUCCCUCAGUAACGGCGAGUGAAGCGGGAAGAGCUCAAAUUUGAAAUCUUCAAGGUUCUACCUUGACGAAUUGUAGUUUAAAGAAGUGUUUUCUGUUGGAGUUUUGGUAAAAGUUCUUUGGAAUAGGACAUCAUAGAGGGUGAGAAUCCCGUAUUUGACCAUUAUUUCCAGCUUUGUGAUACACUUUCAAAGAGUCGGAUUGUUUGGGAAUGCAGUCCAAAAUGGGUGGUAAAUUUCAUCUAAAGCUAAAUAUUGGCGAGAGACCGAUAGCGAACAAGUACCGUGAGGGAAAGAUGAAAAGAACUUUGAAAAGAGAGUUAAACAGUACGUGAAAUUGUCAAAAGGGAAGCGUUUGACACCAGUGUUGUUUUUCUGAAAAUCAAUUAAAGAACUGUUUAUGCUAAGUUGUUUAGACUUUAUCAGCUAUCUGUUUAGUUUUGAGCUUUUCUUUAAUGCACUUUUUCAGUUAACAAGUCAACAUCAAUUUCUUUUGCUGUAAAAAAGCUUGAGGAAGGUGGCUUGAGAUUCGUCUUAAGUGUUUAUAGCCUCUUGCCUAUGCAGUCGGAGAGAUUGAGGUCUGCAGCGUAGAUCCUUCGGGGCUAAAUGCAUUUGUGCUAAGUUAUAGCAUUUUAUAGACAACUUGUUGACUAUGAUUUGUCUCGUAGCUUACUCGCUUAUGUUAUUUUACCUACGCUUAGGAUGUUGAUGUGAUACUGCGAGC